rnacentral:rRNA from 1 species
UACGUAGGGUGCGAGCGUUGUCCGGAAUCAUUGGGCGUAAAGGGCUCGUAGGCGGUCCAUCGCGUCGGGAGUGAAACGCUGGGGCUUAACCCCAGUCCUGCUUUCGAUACGGGUGGACUAGAGGUAGGCAGGGGAGAAUGGAAUUCCUGGUGUAGCGGUGAAAUGCGCAGAUAUCAGGAGGAACACCGGUGGCGAAGGCGGUUCUCUGGGACGGUACUGACGCUGAGACGCGAAAGCGUGGGGAGCGAACAGG